GCAUUUUUGUGAUUUGCAGCUCGUGGUCUGGGUCCAGUUGCAUAGUCACAAAAGUGAUC
rnacentral:pre_miRNA from 1 species